rnacentral:rRNA from 1 species
GAUGAACGCUGGCGGCGUGCCUAAUACAUGCAAGUCGAGCGAACAGACGAGGAGCUUGUUCCUCUGACGUUAGCCGCGCACGUGUGUGUAACACGUGGAUAACCUCCCUAUACGACUGGGAUAACUUCGGGAAGCCGGAUCUUAUACCGUAUUAUAUAUUGUUCCACAUGGUUCAAUUGUGAAAUACGGUUUUACUAUUACCUAUAGAUGCAUCGUCGCCUCAUUUGCUAGUUGGUAAGGUAACGGCUUACGAAGGCAACGAUGCGUAGCCGACCUGAGAGGGUGAUAGGCAACACUGGACCUGAGACACGGUCAAGACUCCUACGGGAGGAAGAAGUAGGGAAUCUUCCGCAAUGGGCGAAAGCCUGCCGGAGAAACGCCGCGUGAGUGAUGAAGGUCUUCGGAUCGUAAAACUCGGUUAUUAGGGAAGAACAAAUGUGUAAGUAAAUAUGCACGUCUUGACGGUACCUAAUCAGAAAGCCACGGCUAACUACGUG